rnacentral:lncRNA from 1 species
AAAAAAAAGGAUUAAAAUAAAAACUAAAAUAAAAGAAAACUGUUGGUCUACUGGUAAUUAAACCCAGCCGCAUGGCUGUUGGGUUUUAGAAGCUGAUUGAUUGGGAAUACUAAAAUACUAUACUAAUACACUAGUAAAUGAAAACACUAUUAAAUGAAAAUCUAGGAAGUUUAAACGUAGAAAAAGUAAUGGUUUCAAAGUUGUUCUUACUAAAAUAAAUAAAUAAAAAGGAAUAAAUAGAAGGGAACCAAAAAAAGGAAAAUGAAAAAACACUGUAAUCACAUAGUCAUCGUCCUCAGUUACCCUCAAUCUCACUCUCAACGAAACUCAACCUCUCUCGCCAGAACCCUCUCUCAAACGCGUUUGCCAUCUCUCGUC